rnacentral:rRNA from 1 species
AGUGAACGCUGGCGGUAGGCCUAACACAUGCAAGUCGAACGGCAGCACAGUAAGAGCUUGCUCUUACGGGUGGCGAGUGGCGGACGGGUGAGGAAUACAUCGGAAUCUACUUUUUCGUGGGGGAUAACGUAGGGAAACUUACGCUAAUACCGCAUACGACCUACGGGUGAAAGCAGGGGAUCUUCGGACCUUGCGCGAUUGAAUGAGCCGAUGUCGGAUUAGCUAGUUGGCGGGGUAAAGGCCCACCAAGGCGACGAUCCGUAGCUGGUGUGAGAGGAUGAUCAGCCACACUGGAACUGAGACACGGUCCAGACUCCUACGGGAGGCAGCAGUGGGGAAUAUUGGACAAUGGGCGCAAGCCUGAUCCAGCCAUACCGCGUGGGUGAAGAAGGCCUUCGGGUUGUAAAGCCCUUUUGUUGGGAAAGAAAAGCAGCAGGUUAAUACCCCGCUGUCCUGACGGUACCCAAAGAAUAAGCACCGGCUAACUUCGUG